AGAGUUUGAUUAUGGCUCAGAUUGAACGCUGGCGGCAUGCUAACACAUGCAAGUCGAACGGUAACAGGCCCUUUCGGGGUGCUGACGAGUGGCGGACGGGUGAGUAACGCGUAGGAAUCUACCUAGUAGUGGGGGACAACCCGGAGAAAUUCGGGCUAAUACCGCAUACGCCCUACGGGGGAAAGCGGGGGAUCUACGGACCUCGCGCUAUUAGAUGAGCCUGCGUCGGAUUAGCUUGUUGGUAGGGUAACGGCCUACCAAGGCGACGAUCCGUAGCUGGUCUGAGAGGACGAUCAGCCACACUGGGACUGAGACACGGCCCAGACUCCUACGGGAGGCAGCGGUGGGGAAUAUUGCACAAUGGGCGAAAGCCUGAUGCAGCAAUGCCGCGUGUGUGAAGAAGGCCUGCGGGUUGUAAAGCACUUUCAAUUGGGAAGAAAAGUCUAGGGUUAAUACCUCUAGACCUUGACGUUACCUUUAGAAGAAGCACCGGCUAACUCCGUGCCAGCAGCCGCGGUAAUACGGAGGGUGCAAGCGUUAAUCGGAAUUACUGGGCGUAAAGCGCGCGUAGGCGGUUAGUUAAGUCAGAUGUGAAAGCCCUGGGCUCAACCUGGGAAUUGCAUUUGAUACUGGCUGGCUAGAGUAUGGUAGAGGGAAGUGGAAUUCCAGGUGUAGCGGUGAAAUGCGUAGAUAUCUGGAGGAACAUCAGUGGCGAAGGCGACUUCCUGGACCAAUACUGACGCUGAGGUGCGAAAGCGUGGGUAGCAAACAGGAUUAGAUACCCUGGUAGUCCACGCCGUAAACGAUGUCAACUAGCCGUUGGGCUCAUUAUAAGGGUUUAGUGGCGCAGCUAACGCGAUAAGUUGACCGCCUGGGGAGUACGGCCGCGAGGUUAAAACUCAAAGGAAUUGACGG
rnacentral:rRNA from 1 species